rnacentral:rRNA from 1 species
AUUGAACGCUGGCGGAAUGCUUUACACAUGCAAGUCGAACGGCAGCACGGGGGCAACCCUGGUGGCGAGUGGCGAACGGGUGAGUAAUACAUCGGAACGUGCCCGGUCGUGGGGGAUAACGUAGCGAAAGUUACGCUAAUACCGCAUACGAUCUGAGGAUGAAAGCGGGGGACCUUCGGUCCUCGCGCGAUCGGAGCGGCCGAUGUCAGAUUAGGUAGUUGGUGGGGUAAAGGCCUACCAAGCCGACGAUCUGUAGCUGGUCUGAGAGGACGACCAGCCACACUGGGACUGAGACACGGCCCAGACUCCUACGGGAGGCAGCAGUGGGGAAUUUUGGACAAUGGGCGCAAGCCUGAUCCAGCCAUUCCGCGUGCAGGACGAAGGCCUUCGGGUUGUAAACUGCUUUUGUAUGGAACGAAAAGGCUCUGGCUAAUACCUGGGGCUCAUGACGGUACCGUAAGAAUAAGCACCGGCUAACUACGUG